CCUACGGGAGGCAGCAGUGAGGAAUAUUGGUCAAUGGACGAGAGUCUGAACCAGCCAAGUAGCGUGAAGGAUGACUGCCCUAUGGGUUGUAAACUUCUUUUAUAAAGGAAUAAAACGAGGCACGUGUGCCUUUUUGCAUGUACUUUAUGAAUAAGGAUCGGCUAACUCCGUGCCAGCAGCCGCGGUAAUACGGAGGAUCCGAGCGUUAUCCGGAUUUAUUGGGUUUAAAGGGAGCGUAGAUGGGUUGUUAAGUCAGUUGUGAAAGUUUGCGGCUCAACCGUAAAAUUGCAAUUGAUACUGGCAGUCGUGAGUACAGUUGAGGUAGGCGGAAUUCGUGGUGUAGCGGUGAAAUGCUUAGAUAUCACGAAGAACCCCGAUUGCGAAGGCAGCUUACUAAACUGUGACUGACAUUGAUGCUCGAAAGUGUGGGUAUCAAACAGGAUUAGAUCCCGAGUAGUC
rnacentral:rRNA from 1 species